UCGGCGCCCCCUCGAUGCU
rnacentral:piRNA from 1 species